rnacentral:lncRNA from 1 species
UUUAACAACCAGCCAAGUCUUGUUUGCCUCUAAGGCUUCAAAUUCUUUGGUCAUAGCUUCCUGCCACUCAAGGCUGACAGUAGCAUGAGUGUAAGAAUGAGGCUCUACUAGUGCAUGUUGUGUAGCAGAAAGGGAAGAAGGAGUAGCAGAAAGGGAAGAGGUAAGUUGGACAGCAUAGUCCUUCAAGUGAGAGGGCAUAUGGUGUGUUCUAGAACUUUUUCUAUGCACAUGAGAUGGAUAAGGUUGAGGUGUUGAUUCAUGGACUGGGAAGGCGGUGGA